UACGUAGGGGGCAAGCGUUGUUCGGAAUUACUGGGCGUAAAGGGCGCGUAGGCGGCACGGCAAGUCGGGAGUGAAAGGCCUGGGCUCAACCGAGGAACUGCUUUCGAGACUGCCGAGCUAGAGUGCGGAAGGGGCAACUGGAAUUCCCAGUGUAGCGGUGAAAUGCGUAGAUAUUGGGAAGAACACCUGAGGCGAAGGCGGGUUGCUGGGCCGACACUGACGCUGAGGCGCGAAGGCCAGGGGAGCAAACGGG
rnacentral:rRNA from 1 species